rnacentral:lncRNA from 10 species
UUGUGUUAAAACUUUAAAAGUAUUUGAUACUUGUAUAAAAUAAAGGAUUGAUAUUCACAGUUUAUUUUAAAACCUACAAAUACUUAUAACCACAAAAAUCCAAUAGACCCAGGGGCCAAGUGUGGAGAUAGGGAAUUCAGAGGACAGGAAAUCCAAACACUUCCAAUACAGAGUCCAACCCACUCCCUGAGAGUUGGAUGUUUGGAAACUACAACGCAGGGAUAUCACUUUUUUGCCCACAACAUUUGCAAAAUUGAACGAUAUAAAAAUUUACCAUCGAAUUUUGUUCACAAUAUAGGGAAACAGGCACUGUCAUUUCUUGCGUGACAGAUUGGUUCAGUCUUCAAAGGACAACUUAGCAGCAUCUGCUGACAUGAUCAAAGCGCUUCUCUUUUGGUCCAUCAUCUCCACUUCUCAGUGACAAAUCUUAAGACACAUUCACAUGGAAAAAAGCCCAAGAUAGUCACAUACUUUCUGUUGUAUCUUUGUACUUAGAAUUACAAUAUGGGAGAAAAGUACCUUGACAUUCAUCUUCAAGGGAAUGGUGACACUACCCGACACCCCCGUUGUGACGUACGGUGCUGCAUACUCCCCAGUGACCAGCCCUUCUAAAUUCCAGACCGCUCAAAGGGCUCGGGAACUCAGGAAGUCCACAGUAGAUGACACUUCUCUGUCCCAUGACAUCUCAGAUGUCCAUGACUGGGAAAUGGAACACCUGGACUGGGACAAUCUGAAGGCUGGUGCAACUUAAGUUUUUAUCCAAGUAUCCAGUUGUUGUCUGUCAGCAUGGUUUGGGCUUGUAACAGCACAAGAGCAUGUUGAAAGAGGACCUCUGGGAAGAAAGCUUUUCAAUAUCACCAAGUACAGGCUCCAUGACUUUUUCUGACUUAAUCCAGGAGUUACGGCAUUGAUUGCAUCAUACUCUGUCUGUCUCAGGAGACCAAAAUCCACACAGUUUCAAGGGAAAGUGACAUGAUCCCACCUUUUACUGGAUGGAAGGACAAAGUAAUAUGGUAGAUGUGGAAAUUAUGGUAAUACUGCUUCCACUUUUGGAAAAUUUAAUUUAGAGUCUUUGAAUACUUAACAAUUUUGCUUCCAUACCGGAGUAUGUAUAGUCACAUGUAUACAGAGCAUACUCAAAUACUACAUAUAAAAUCACAUUUAUGCAAAUAACACAAAUAUGCUGAAAUCUGCCACUAUGCUGCUACCUGGAACUCAGCUUAUACUUCAAAUAUUUUUAUGAAUUAUUAAUAAGGAAAAUCUGUAUUAGUUAUAUUAUGA